GGCCAGAUAGCUCAGUUGGUUGGAGCAUCAUUGCAUCCCUUACUCCAAAGGCCAUGGGUUCAAUUCCCAUUAAGGGCA
rfam:Myotis brandtii contig271506, whole genome shotgun sequence.